GUCAGCCGGUGGGCGGGCGUCGGGCUGGCAUUGGCAACAGGCCAGCCUGAGGAACCCUCUCCAUGUGCCGUGGCCCCACGGCCGCUGCGAAGCGGCUCGGCGGAAGCCGAGGCUCCGGCUCAGAAACGAACCUCUCCUAUCCUGUGACGAUGAUAUUGGUGUAUAAAACCAUUGAGGAGGAUAGGAGAUUGGUUGAAACGGCCGUCCCGUGGGUUAGGGCCAAGUAGGGGCUUAUGAGGGGUCACGCUGAAGCCCGGGUAGGCCCCUAGACGGAUCCCGCCUAAAACAGAAGGAGGGGUACUACCGGCUGAC
rnacentral:RNase_P_RNA from 1 species